rnacentral:lncRNA from 1 species
UAAGGUUUCACUUCAACCAAGAAAAUUAAAUUAGGUGGUUUUUUUUUUAUUUCCUUUAGGCUACUUUUACUCUUCACACUUUUAGUUCUUCUCAAUUACGAAAUAUAUACAUACAUAUAUACAGACAUGUUUAUAAAUUCUUAAGAUUUCCCGUUCAUUAAAAUUGUUUCACGCAUUUUCCAUUGUAUCGUUGUCAAAAACUGACUAUUAGAACUAUGAGAUUUGCCAGUUUAUAAAUGCUAUCCGGUUUUUUGGCCAUGUUCAUUAGAUGAUCUGUACUUACUACGUGUUUCCGAUCAUCACGCAAAUUUCUCUUUCCAAAGUUAACUAAUUAUCGCAGUGCACGAGUGUGAUAUCAACCCUCCCUCGCCAUUUCUACGCUACCGAUCUCUAGGGCAAGAUCCUAAUGGACAGUGGAGCAAUUUGUGCCAAAGCAGCCUCGUUUGCAUAUUUUAAUUUCGGAGAUUAAAGGGAGAACAUAAACAACCCCGAAGAGAUGGAAAAGAUGAAUAUUCAUGAAGUGUGUAAUCUGUUGUACUACUUUCUCAACAACUUUUUAUCCAAUAGAUGGCAGCACUAGCUCGAGUAGUAUCUAUAUACAUAUAAAUUUUUUUUUUAAUUCGUUGUUUCUCCCAUUGGGAAACGCAAUGAUCAAUAUCUUUUACGAAGACAAGCGGAGAAAAAUAACUGCGCGAACAACUAGAAUAUUUUCGUCGAUUUGCAAGUCCCAAAUCGAUAAAUAUUAAUUAGUAUAAAUUAUGCACGUUUCAUAAUUAAGCUAUUGAUAUUUUAUAAAACAUAUGCAGAAGCUAGAAAAAAUAUAGUAAAGUAUUAAUAUUGUAUUUUGCUAUGUCGUCUUUCUGGAGAUGUCUAAAAAUAAAUAUAUAGCGAUAUUGACUAAUAUACCGUAAUAUAGAAUGGAUCACGAGAGAUUAUGCUACGUAUUCUUUUCAUUUUAUUCGUACAUUCUGAUAUUUGUCGCCAAAAACUUCAUUUUAAUCUUUCAAAAAGCACAAAACCAUAUAAGAAAUAGUUAUUUUGGAAAAUAUAAAGUAUUUUAGCGCAAAGUUAAAAUUUUUUAAAAUUGUUUUUUUUUUUUUUUUUAAUUUUAUGCA